CGGGUGAGUAACACGUGGAUAACCUACCUAUAAGACUGGGAUAACUUCGGGAAACCGGAGCUAAUACCGGAUAAUAUAUUGAACCGCAUGGUUCAAUAGUGAAAGACGGUUUUGCUGUCACUUAUAGAUGGAUCCGCGCUGCAUUAGCUAGUUGGUAAGGUAACGGCUUACCAAGGCAACGAUGCGUAGCCGACCUGAGAGGGUGAUCGGCCACACUGGAACUGAGACACGGUCCAGACUCCUACGGGAGGCAGCAGUA
rnacentral:rRNA from 1 species